GGUAUACUUUCAAUUAUCUUCACAUCCUGGGGAUCCACUAACAACCGAAGAGCCUGCGAGUUCCAAGUUCGCGAAGUAGGAUCUAUUAAAGAGUCCACUGUAAGUCAUCUUAGCGGUUUCAUUCGACACUGAAGCGCUUAGUCCUCACUACUACGACCAUACAUGUCCAAAAGCCGACCAAAUCGUCACCAAUGCAGUCAAGAAAGCCAUGGCAAAUGACAAAACUGUCCCUGCUGCUCUCUUGAGGAUGCAUUUCCACGAUUGCUUUGUCAGGGUAGCUACUUCAUGCACAGCACAUUCUUGUAAUCUUUCAAUAAUUUUUUAUAUAUAUUAAAGAAAUAAGCUGUUGGCGAUUGUUUUUGUUGCUUAAGGGAUGUGAUGCGUCAGUGCUGUUGGACUCAAAAGGGAAAGAACAAAGCAGAGAAAGAUGGACCUCCAAACAUCUCACUCCAUGCAUUUUAUGUGAUUGACAAUGCAAAGAAGGCAUUAGAAGAGCAAUGUCCAGGUGUCGUCUCGUGUGCCGAUAUCGUUUCACUGGCUGCAAGAGAUGCUGUCGCGAUCUCAUAUAUCAAAUUCUAGUUUUAUUUGAUAAUUCUAAUAAUCGACAUCAUUUAUUUGUGUGAACGUAAUGAUAGUCAGGAGGGCCAACAUGGGAAGUGCCAAAAGGGAGAAAGGAUGGAAGAGUAUCAAAAGCAAUAGAAACAAGACAACUACCAGCUCCUACUUUUAACAUCUCUCAGCUGCGACAAAGUUUUGUCCAAAGAUGCCUUUCUAUGCACGAUCUUGUUGUUCUCUCUGGUAUUACACAUUUUCCCAUAUACUUAAAAUAUACAGUACAAGGAUGUCGAUUUGCCAUCUAAAUUCUUGGUAACGUCAACCAACAGAGUGUGAGAUGUCAAUUUAAGUCCGACUUUGGAAAUUAGAUAAAGGAGAGUCUAAUAUAUAAAGAGAUGUCCAACUCUAAUUAGUAUGAAGCCAUUUGAGAAGAAAACCAAAAAUAAAUUCAUGUGGGCUUGCCUAAAGCCCAAAGUGGACAAUAUCGUACUAAUCACCUACAUAUUAAUAGAGAAACAUUUGAAAAGUUAUAACAUGUAUUUUAUAUUAAUUAAAAAAGUGUUUAGCUUAAUUGUCAAUUAAUUAGCAUAGCAAUUAAUCUGACUAGCUUCAUAUUUAAUUAGAAAAUAAUGUUGGUCCAAGAUCUAGAUUGUGAUUUCGCUAGGGAUUUAUAAAAUUAAACUUUUUUUUACGCUGAUUCAUUUUGACAUUACAAAUAUGAGAAAUAUUAUAUAGACGAUUUAACAAUCCACAAUACUACCUGCCUUAUGAGGAUCUACACCUAACUGCAUCACCUGAGUCGUCCUAUGAAGAUCCACGCUUGACUAGAUUUAUUUGCACCAUGUUGAAGAUUUAUUUGCACCAUGUUGAAGAUCCCUUGUAAGAUUUAUAAAAUUAAACUUUUUUUACGCUGAUUCAUUUUGACAUUACAAAUAUGAGAAAUAUUAUAUAGACGAUUUAACAAUCCACAAUACUACCUGCCUUAUGAGGAUCUACACCUAACUGCAUCACCUGAGUCGUCCUAUGAAGAUCCACGCUUGACUAGAUUUAUUUGCACCAUGUUGAAGAUCCCUUGUAAGUUUUUCUUCCGUAGCCUGCAGUAAUAAAUCGCUCUUUCCGGGAUUUGAAACCUAGAUUUCCUGUAUUCUACAAUAAAUUGCAUAGUCUGGGAUUCGAAUCCCAAACCUGGGUAUAGAAGCCUUUAAACCUUAACCAUUAGGCUAGGGUCCUUCCACAUUAAAAUUAAACUUAGGCUAAGCGCAUUACAUCAUCUUCUUGAGUUAUCUGGCGUGAGAAAAAAAAAGAAAUUUGACUAAAUAUGAAGAUUGCCUUAUUAGAAGAAACAAUAAAUGACUAUUAAAUUAAUGCACUUAAGAAUAAAUAUCAAAUAUACACGUUCUACACGAUUUGAUAGACACUUAGACAAUAUGUAAUUACGGAAAAUAUUUAUCACCGAGGCAAAAAUUAACCCUUAUAUAUUAAUAGAGAAAUAUUUAAAAAUUUGUAACCGUAAGUUUGUAUUAAUUAAAAAAAAUCUUGCUUAGGUGUUGAUUAAUUAUGAUGUCAAUUUGGCUUAUGUGACAGCAUAAAAAAUCAAUUGAAAACUUAGUAAGUCCAAAAUCCAAUGGCUAGAAAACUAUAUUAAUCCAAACAUAAAUGUAUAUGAUAUGAUAAACUUAAUACUCGGUGAUCUCAUUAAAUUAAUACUCGACGAUCUCAUUAAAUGAAACUUUCUUUAAAUGAUUCAAAAUUGAUUUAAAUUGUGAUCCAACCUAAUAAUUAUUUUUUAAAGUGUAAGGUAUACUCUUAUUCCGUAUUACUUAGACAACAAAAUUAAUCAAAGUUUGCUAUAGCCUAAGUAUUGCAUGUUUUUGCUAUAAAUUGGAAAAUAAUAAUUUUUUUAAUUUUUUUUAUUAGUAACAAAGAGGCACUUUGAGAAAAAAAAAUAGCAAAGAGACGCAGCAAUAAAAAAAUUCAAUAAAAGAGAAAAAAAGAAGAAUAUUGUUCGGUUCUCAAGCCUUCUCACCUACAAAAAUUUAUAUAAAGAGUAAUACAGAAAUUAGAUUGUUUUGUUAUUACCAAACCUUAUAUAUCAAUUAUUUUUCCUUGCAACACAAUUCUUUAGAAUUUAAAUUAUGAAGUUUAUAUCAAAGAUUAAGUAAAAACUUUGACACCUGCCUAAUUGUUUUUUCAUAGUCUAGGACAACAUUAAUAAUGACCUUUCGUAGUAGUUAAUGAUAUAUAUAUAUAUCACGUUAACCUAAUUUUCAUCCUAUACAAAGUAUCAGUUGCAAAUAAUAUUAUAAUCUUUUUAUAUUUGGACCUUAAGUAUAAUAAUAGUCGGGCUGAAAAAUUUUAUGUUAUGUUAAUGUGGUCUAUAACCAAACUAUACUUCAAAUUAUAAGCUUAAUCCAAUUUGUAAUUGUCUUUUUAAUAUAUCAAUUUUCCAACUUAUGUUAUCAAAAAGAGAGUAAAAUUUUGAUAUUCUGAAAAUUAGUGUAACUUUAAAAUCAAAAAUAUAUAUUUUUAUUUACUGAUAAGUUAGUAAAAGAAAAUAUUCAAAUGCAUCUGUCUAACAUAGAGAUUGAUUAUAUAAACAAUCAAAAAUUUUAUACAUAUAAAAACAAUUCGAUCAUAUGUAAAUCUUAAAUUUCUCAAUACAAUAUGUUUUACUAGGGUUGGCCCACCCUAUGGGCGGGAAGUUAUAAUAAAAACUAUUUUAUAUGAACUUAUAUUAAUUUUAUGAAGUAUUUAAAUUUAUUUUAGAUUGAAAACGAUAUUAUAAACAAACAAAUAAUUAAUAGAAUUCUAGAUCAUAUUAUUAUUUUUUUAAAAUAUUUUGGUUUGAAUUAAGAUGACAAUAACCUUAAUUAUUAUCUAAUUUUAGAGAAUAAAAAAUUACCAAGAAAAUAAAAUAAAAUGUAAUAAUGUAUAUUUCUUAUAAUUUGUAUUUUAAUUUUACAUAAUAAAAAUAGAAAUUUUAAAUAAAUAAUACUAAAUUAAUUUCAGAAGAUUCAAGUUUCAAAAGACAUGUACACAAAUGUCUCAUGGUAAAAAUGGAAAGUGGUACCAUGAAAGUGGUAAACAUGUAAUUUUUCCUAAUUUAAAAUAUAAUAUAAUUUGAUAAAAUAAUUAAAUUUCAAUUUUAAAAUACUAUAUAUAGUUUAAUAAUAUCAUAAAUAAUAAUUAAUAUUUUCUGAUUUAAUAGGGAAAUGAUGUUUUAGAAUAUAUUUGUUUCAGAUCAUAAUGAUAUCUGGAAUGAAAUAUUAAUUAAAUUUUAGUGUUUUGUUAUUAUAGCUUUUGUUGAAUUCUGAUUAAUAACAAAAUUAUUUGUUUGAGUAGAGAAAUAAGACUUGAAAGAACCCCUAUGAACCGUACAGUAAGUAAUAGAGAUUAAACGGUGGUUGGCAGGUACACUCAAAUGAGCUUAUAGAGAACAAAAGCAGAUGACCAUAAGAAUUGGAUUAUACAAUAGUCGCAGGAACCUACAGUCCAGUAGGUGAAGAGUCUUGUAUUAUUGUCACCAUAUAAAUCACCUGUAAUAUACACACAAAUCAUUAUACAGAACAUGAGAAUCAAAAUCAUAUUCAAAUUCCCUAGAAGUUAAGGGAUUGUACCUGCCAACCAGCGUCUUUGCUGCUAAGAUGUUGUUUGAAUAAGUCACUGAGAAGCCAUAUCUGCGAGAAGGUGAACUUGUGCUGCUGCUGUUAUAUCUUUGGCUCCCAUUAUAUUUGCUUUAGCUCCAUAGUAAUUAUCCCCUUCCACAUAAGCUAUGGCAUGUAACAGUUCAACAAACCAAAACAAAUUACACAUCUCAGAUCAAGAAACAAACAAAAAAAAAAAGAAAAACUUCUGAUGACCACUCUGGUUCAUGAGGUCAGGUUCCUCAGAUUUAGGAAACGGGAAAGUUAUAUGCUUCUUCUUGCCAUAUCUUUUGAAUGAACUUUCUCCUCAAGUCAUCAUCUUCCUUUGUCCUCCUUAAGGGAAUAAUUCCUUUGGCAAAUUUACCAUAUCAAUGCCAUAACUGAGGGAUAUGUAUCUCCUUCUAUUUCUGACUUCGUAAAGAUACUUUGUUGUGCUCAAAGAGUCUCUCAGGAUUGUAAUUAUGCUUCAUCUAAAAAAGGAACCGCAAGUAAAGUAAACUAAACAUCAGCACUUAAAACAUAAAAUACAAAGCCCAAACAAAUUCUAAGUAAACGUGAUCUUUGAGUAAAGGAUGAUCAAAAGCUGGUUGCUUUGAGAAGAACACAUGCAAUUACAUCUUUUUCUUGGGUUUGUUUAUCACAUCUAAAAGUUAUAAACUUUCGUUAGAUAAACCUUUUCUUAUAAAUAUCGACACAAUUUGAACUUAUUGUUCAUUUGAACAAAAGAAACAAAACCAAAAGGUAAAAGAAAAAGAAAUCGGAUUAUGAUACUUACUGAAAUCAGCCCAAGUAGAAAUACUCAAAAAGAAGAAGAUAAGAGAUUUAUCUUACCUGAAUGCUCUUGACAGCAGGUUUGUCAGCUUGUUCAAAUGCUUCUUGAUUACAAACUUCUGCUUAUAUAUGCUGGACCUUGCGGUGUAGGAUAGCGAGGCGAACCUCCACAGCCAUAAACACAGUAAGGAUCUUCAAGCUUGUUUUUAUCCUUGCAAGCUGGCAUGAUUUAA